rnacentral:rRNA from 1 species
GAACGCUAGCGGCAGGCUUAACACAUGCAAGUCGAGGGGCAGCAUGAGACGGAGAUUCGUCGAAGUCUUGAUGGCGACCGGCGCAAGGGUGCGUAACGCGUGAGCAACUUGCCCGUUUCUGGGGAAUAACCGGUGGAAACGCCGACUAAUACCCCAUAGCAUAUUUAGGAGGCAUCUCUUGAAUAUUAAAGAAUUUCGGAAACGGAUAGGCUCGCGUGACAUUAGCUAGAUGGCGGGUAACGGCCCACCAUGGCAACGAUGUCUAGGGGUUCUGAGAGGAAGGUCCCCCACACUGGAACUGAGACACGGUCCAGACUCCUACGGGAGGCAGCAGUGAGGAAUAUUGGUCAAUGGUCGGAAGACUGAACCAGCCAAGUAGCGUGAAGGAUGAAGGUUCUAUGGAUUGUAAACUUCUUUUAUACGGGAAUAAAACCUCCCACGUGUGGGAGCUUGUAUGUACCGUAUGAAUAAGCAUCGGCUAACUCCGUG